GACGAACGCUGGCGGCGUGCUUAACACAUGCAAGUCGAACGGAAAGACCCUGCUUUUGUGGGGUGCUCGAGUGGCGAACGGGUGAGUAACACGUGAGUAACCUGCCCUUGACUUUGGGAUAACUUCAGGAAACUGGGGCUAAUACCGGAUAGGAGCUCCUGCUGCAUGGUGGGGGUUGGAAAGUUUCGGCGGUUGGGGAUGGACUCGCGGCUUAUCAGCUUGUUGGUGGGGUAGUGGCAUACCAAGGCUUUGACGGGUAGCCGGCCUGAGAGGGUGACCGGCCACAUUGCGACUGAGAGACGGACCAGACGCCUACGGGAGGCAGCAGUGGGGAGUAUGACACAAUGGGCGGAAGCCUGAUGCAGCAACGCCGGGUGCGGAAUGACGGCCUUCGGGUUGUAAACCGCUUUCGCCUGUGACGAAGCGUGAGUGACGGUAAUGAGUAAAGAAGCACCGGCUAACUACGUG
rnacentral:rRNA from 1 species